UAGACUACGUACUCCUUUCACUUGAAACCAUGAGGUUGAGGUGUACUAAUUCCAGCUUCUGUUUUUGUUUUGUUGGGAGAUAGAAUGGUUGGUCUUCCACAGGUUGAGAGCAGAAAGAAGAUCUUGAGAACCUUAUUGUCAAAAGAGAGAAGACAGAGAAUCUUGACUUCCACGAGCUUGCACAAAUGACAGAUGGAUAUAUUGGAAGUGAUCUCAAGAACUUUUGCACAACAGCUGCACAUCGACCCAUGAGGGAGCUGAUAAAGCAUGAGUGCUUGAAAGACCAGGAGGGGAAGAAGAAGAGGAAGCAGAGAAGACUAGUGAAGAGGGAUCUGAAGCAAAAGAAGCAACAGAGGAGAGAGUCAUAACAUUGAGAGCUUUGAGCAUGGAAGACAUAAGAAUAGCUAAAAGCCAGCAGGCAACUUAGUUGUGUUUGCUGAUCUUGUCCCAACAAAACUAACUGAUUUGCAUUUGCAGGUUACUGUUGUGUUUGCUGACCUUGUCCCAACAAAACUAACUGAUUUGAAAAAAAAAAAAAAAACUAACUGAUUUG